UAAUAACAGAAAAGGCUGCGUAUUUAGGAGAUUGGAUUCCUCUCUAUAAUGUCGUUCUAUUUUUAUUUUAGAAAGCGGGCCUACUGGUAAACAAUUACUACGAAGAGCACUAAUCAGUUUGCGGCAGCAAGGAAUUUGAAAUUUGUUGAAACAAGUGCCAAAGAAAACGUAAAUGUUGAAAAUGCUUUUGAAACUCUUGCUAAAGCAAUGGCCGCCAGCACAACACCACGUGAUAUUACAAUGCAAGAAUCAGUGAUCGGUCUGGACGGCAGGAAAUUGUCAAAAUAUUCACCUUGUUGAUGUCACGUUUA